rnacentral:rRNA from 1 species
UUGGAUCUCCUGGCUCUCACAUCGAUGAAGAACACAGUGAAAUGUGAUAAGUAAUGUGAAUUGCAGAAUUCAGUGAAUCAUCGAAUCUUUGAACGCACCUUGCGCCUUUUGGUAUUCCAAAAGGCACACCUGUUUGAGUGUCAUGAAACCCUCUCACAAAAUAACUUUUUUGUUGCUUUGUGGAUGUUGAGUGUUGCUAUAUACUUGUAGCUCACUUUAAAUAUAUAAGUCACACUUUUCAAGUAAGUUGGAUUGACCUUGGUGUAAUAAUUUAAUCAUCACAUCAAGGAAAGUAGCAAUACCUUGCCAUCUUUUGAAAGGAGGGACUCCCAAAGAGAAAACCCCCAUGAUACCUUAGCCAAUCGG